rnacentral:tRNA from 1 species
GGUUUAUGGUGUAAAGGUUAGCACUCUGGACUCUGAAUCCAGUGUUCUGAGUUCAAAUUUUAGUAGGACCU